CAGAGGGUAGUUUAAUUUAGGAUCUUAGCUUUGGGAGCUAAGGGUAAGAGUUAGAUUCUCUUCCCUCUGA
rnacentral:tRNA from 1 species